GCUCCAGUGGCACAAUCGGUUAGCGCGCGGUACUUAUAAUGCCGAGGUUGUGAGUUCGAGCCUCACCUGGAGCA
rnacentral:tRNA from 1 species